GCCAUUGCCUUUAGUCUUUUCUGUUCCACAUGUAGAGGUAUGUAGCUUGUUAAGUCAACCAUAAUAUCGGAUCGGUAUCGGGUAUCGACCGAUACGCAAACUCACGGCAUCGGUAUCGGUAUCGAAACUGAAAAAGUCGGAUCGGUGCAUCUCUAGUCCGAGCCACGAUGCCAAUC